CUUCCGUAGGGGGAACCUGCGGAAGGAUCAUUAGUGAAUAUAGGACGUCCAACUUAACUUGGAGUCCGAACUCUCACUUUCUAACCCUGUGCACUUGUUUGGGAUAGUAACUCUCGCAAGAGAGCGAACUCCUAUUCACUUAUAAACACAAAGUCUAUGAAUGUAUUAAAUUUUAUAACAAAAUAAAACUUUCAACAACGGAUCUCUUGGCUCUCGCAUCGAUGAAGAACGCAGCGAAAUGCGAUAAGUAAUGUGAAUUGCAGAAUUCAGUGAAUCAUCGAAUCUUUGAACGCACCUUGCGCUCCAUGGUAUUCCGUGGAGCAUGCCUGUUUGAGUGUCAUGAAUACUUCAACCCUCCUCUUUCUUAAUGAUUGAAGAGGUGUUUGGUUUCUGAGCGCUGCUGGCCUUUACGGUCUAGCUCGUUCGUAAUGCAUUAGCAUCCGCAAUCGAACUUCGGAUUGACUUGGCGUAAUAGACUAUUCGCUGAGGAAUUCUAGUCUUCGGAUUAGAGCCGGGUUGGGUUAAAGGAAGCUUCUAAUCAGAAUGUCUACAUUUUAAGAUUAGAUCUCAAAUCAGGUAGGACUACCCGCUGAACUUAAGCAUAUCAAUAAGCGGAGGAA
rnacentral:rRNA from 1 species